UGUGAGGGUGAUCUGACCACUACACGGCACCCCACAGAUCGAUCUCCAGGGUUGAUUCAGCUGAUCUGACUGGCGAGGUGUAUGGCUCCCUCCUCCCUCACGGUUCCACGCAUGUCCCUCCCAAAGCUGCCAGCUCCACGGAAGAGGAAAACCUUCCUCAAACACAGGAGGACCUGUCUUUCUCUGGUCCAGGGUCCUCUCGUAGUUGGGCUUCCCUGAUAGAACCUCCAAAUGAGCUCUCAAUUAAAGGUGUAAAAUAGGCAAUGAAAAGAAGUGGACUGUUCUCCAUAUGUUU
rnacentral:snRNA from 1 species